UACGUAGGGCGCAAGCGUUGUCCGGAAUUAUUGGGCGUAAAGAGCUCGUAGGCGGUUUGUCGCGUCUGCUGUGAAAACCUAAGGCUCAACCUUGGGCUUGCAGUGGGUACGGGCAGACUAGAGUGCGGUAGGGGGUGACUGGAAUUCCUGGUGUAGCGGUGGAAUGCGCAGAUAUCAGGAGGAACACCGAUGGCGAAGGCAGGUCACUGGGCCGCAAC
rnacentral:rRNA from 1 species